ACCGCUGAAGCUUACAUACUACCGACUACGAAUCGGAAGGUUAUAGGUUCGAAUCCUAUCAGUGGCG
rfam:Lyngbya majuscula 3L genomic scaffold scf45916, whole genome shotgun sequence.